UACACUCCUACGGGAGGCAGCAGUGGGGAAUUUUGGACAAUGGGCGAAAGCCUGAUCCAGCAAUGCCGCGUGCAGGAUGAAGGCCUUCGGGUUGUAAACUGCUUUUGUACGGAACGAAAAAGCUCCUUCUAAUACAGGGGGCCCAUGACGGUACCGUAAGAAUAAGCACCGGCUAACUACGUGCCAGCAGCCGCGGUAAUACGUAGGGUGCGAGCGUUAAUCGGAAUUACUGGGCGUAAAGCGUGCGCAGGCGGUUAUGUAAGACAGAUGUGAAAUCCCCGGGCUCAACCUGGGAACUGCAUUUGUGACUGCAUGGCUAGAGUACGGUAGAGGGGGAUGGAAUUCCGCGUGUAGCAGUGAAAUGCGUAGAUAUGCGGAGGAACACCGAUGGCGAAGGCAAUCCCCUGGACCUGUACUGACGCUCAUGCACGAAAGCGUGGGGAGCAAACAGGAUUAGAUACCCCAGUAGUCCCAUG
rnacentral:rRNA from 1 species